rnacentral:rRNA from 1 species
UCCGUAGGUGAACCUGCGGAAGGAUCAUUGUCGAAGCCUAGAAAGUGCAACCGCGAACGAAUUUAUAAUCAAGGAAAUGUCGUUGUGCCCUCGGGUUCCACGAUUAAACCUUACUCGGAUGUCGAAGAGACUUUAUGUUUCUUCCUCCGAAUAUAACGAACCCCGGCGCGGACAGCGCCAAGGAAUCAAAAACAAAAUGAACAUGACCUUCUAUCCCGUUGAUCGGGAUGUGAUGGCCUUGUUUUUUAGAAAAUAUCAUAACGACUCUCGGCAACGGAUAUCUCGGCUCUUGCAUCGAUGAAGAACGUAGCAAAAUGCGAUACUUGGUGUGAAUUGCAGAAUCCCGUGAAUCAUCGAGUCUUUGAACGCAAGUUGCGCCCGAAGCCUUUAGGCCAAGGGCACGUCUGCCUGGGUGUCAUGCAUUGCGAUGCCCCCAUAAAAGGUUAUGGGGCGAAUCAUGGCCUCCCGUUAGCCCCAACUCGCGGAUGGCUAAAAAUUAAGCCUCGAGACGGGAAAAUGUCGCGACAAGUGGUGGUUGAAUGGGCCUCGGCCUUAGAUCUUAUCAUGUCUUGACCUUUCCCCUCUAGUGCUUUAAAAGACCUAACGGUAGUGCCUUUAUUGCGCUGCUAGCAUCGUGACCCCAGGUCAGGCGGGACUACCCGCUGAGUUAA